GCAGGCGUGGCGAAACUGGUAAACGCAAAGGACUUAAAAUCCUUCGUCUUCAAUGACUUACGGGUUCGAUCCCCGUCGCCUGCACCA
rnacentral:tRNA from 1 species